rnacentral:rRNA from 1 species
AACGAACGCUGGCGGCGUGCCUAACACAUGCAAGUCGUGCGAGAAAGUUCCUUCGGGAGCGGGUAAAGCGGCGCACGGGUGAGUAACACGUAGGUAACCUGCCCCCCAGUCUGGAACAACUAGAGGAAACUCUAGCUAAUGCCGGAUGAGACCACGAUCCCUUCGGGGGUUGCGGCCAAAGAUGGCCUCUACUUGUAAGCUAUCGCUGAGGGAUGGGCCUGCGGGCCAUUAGCUUGUUGGUGAGGUAACGGCUCACCAAGGCUGUGAUGGCUAGCUGGUCUGAGAGGAUGACCAGCCACACUGGGAGUGAGACACGGCCCAGACUCCUACGGGAGGCAGCAGUGGGAAUAUUGCGCAAUGGGCGAAAGCCUGACGCAGCGACGCCGCGUGGGUGAUGAAGGCCUGGUCGUAAG